UCUGGAAAGCGCAAGCACCGAAGGAGUAAAACUCUCAGGUAAAAGGACAGGGCA
rnacentral:ncRNA from 1 species